ensembl:lncRNA
CCUCCUCAAAUCUCUCUCUCUCUCUCUCUCUCUCUCUCUCUCUCUCUCUCUCUCUCUCUCUCUCUCUCUCUCUCUCUCUCAAAACCUCCCCUUCUCUCCACGCAACAGCCCCGUGAUUCCGCGAGGUGCAUGCAGGUCCGUGGACCGUGGCACUGAUGACGCUCUCGCAAAGGAUGGAAAAGUCACCACCGAGAGGACCACUUCAGCAUCCCCGGUGUCUUCCCUCUCUCUCUCCCCCUCCACUAGCAAGGAGCGAGAGUGAGAGUGUGAGGUACGAAUAAAUCGAGCACGCGCCCCGUGGGUGGUACUCCGCGGGAGCGUGUUUCCCCUCAUGGUACAGAAGUCAAUUGAGAACAGAGGAACGGCCAGCAAGUUCGACCGAGGAGAUUGAUUCAAGGCCUUCAUUUGAAGCUGAAUUCUCUGAUGACGGAGACCUUGACGAUCAAAUGAAUACACAGUCUAUGAUUGACUCUUCAGAUGAAGCUGAAUUCCCCUGUGAUGAUCCACCAGACCAUGUUGAGCAAAACAUCUUCAACGAUCCUGAAAUCCAAGAGCAACCCAUCUACUCUGGUGCAUCAAUUAACCGUGGACAGCUACUGUGCCUCAUUCUGGCCUUCAUUUUGAAGCACAGCAUUAGUGGCAGUGGAUUAAAAGAUUUGUUGGAUCUUUUAAAUAUUGUGGCACCUGGAUGUGCCCCCCCCCAAGUAAAUACUACUUUGAUCUUUCUUUAAUUUGGCAAAACAAUUCGAAAUACACCAUUACUGUAAAAUUUGCUCGCAAUAUAUAGGUAAGU